CGGGGGCUGGUGCCGUGUCCUCUAAGGGGCCCUGGGCAGGAGCGGUCCAAGCCCGGUGGGGUUUGGGCCCUGCCGCACCUGAAGGAAGCAGGCCCCGCUCCCCCGACAGGUGGUUCAGCCGGAGCGUCCCGCAGCCGCUUCCCUCGGGGCGUUGGCCGAGCUUUUCUUCGGCGCGGUCCUCCCACCCUUCAGCCCCCUGUCAGUGUAUUCAUGGAACGGCUCCGUCAGCAUUCCAGGUGCUGAGGCCGAGGGUUGGUUCCACACGUGUAUGAUUGCAGCGAACUGCCCUGGAUUGAUGGAUUGCUCAGUUUCUAAGACUCAGGUGUUUUAACAAGGCAUGGUUUACCUGGACCUCCAAAUUUUGCAAAAAACGUUUUAUGCAGUUACAUGAGGGAGAAGGCAGGAAUGAAAUAUUUUACAGAUAUCUCUGUGCUUUAUUGCUGCAUCUCACGCUGUCAGAUGGUCACUGUGUAGAUGUAGAACAGGCUAUGUCUUCUUUUGUUGUAACUUCACAAUUAUCUAUCCCUGGCCAGCUGCACAAUUGGUUUGUGUGCAGAAGUUCUGAUUUUAAAAGGAACAGAAAACUUUAUGUGAAUUAAACAUUGUGGUACCUUCUCUGUCUUGAUGUUGGGUUAGGGGAGCUCAUGGGUGUUGCUGUUUUUGUCACCAGCCUUUAAACUCCAUGAGCUGAACUUCCCUGGAUUAUAAACUGUCUUUGAUUAUGGGGAGUGGGCUGGAUUAUAAAUUGUCUUUAAUUAUGGAGAAUGGGCUGGAGAGCACGGAGUUAUUCCUUUGGAUCUUCAUGGCACUCCAUGCAAAAUGUAACAGCUGUUUUUGCUCAUGUUUCUGACUGUGAGCUCUUCAACGUGAUACCAAUCAUGCAAGGUUAAGCUGCAAAAGAAAUUACUUUGUAGAGAUUGUAAAAUAAUGAGAGUGUUGGAUAACCUGUGGGGACAAUAAAGGUUCGGGUCUCCUCAUAAAUACAUGGAA